GCGCAGCUUCCCUCCACCCCAGGAAGGGAGGAGCUGGCCUUGACUCAGCACCCACUUGCUUGUGUAAGCUCUUUCUUAGCCAUUAUCUCAGUUAAUCUUCCAGCAGUCCUGAAAACUGGCGAUACUGUCCCCACUUUACAAAGGCAGAAUCUGAGCCCCAAGAAGGACAUACCAAAAGAAGAACAUACUUUACCUGGUUGGCCUGGGUUCCCUCUGAGAAGCCUUCCUGGAUUGACUAAAAGAUGAAGCUAAACUCUAGCCAGUUGACCGGCUCUGCCAAAAAGCCUUUGAGCAGGAUGGAAGUAGGCAGGCCCUAGCCUCCAGCCUAGGCAGCCCAUUACGCCUGGAGCCACCUGGGAUAAGAUUUUGCUUCACCAUUUCUCCCGUGUCCACAAGCUGUCCGUCCUGGCCCAUCUUGGUUUCUCCUGUGUCGUCUGAGCUGAGAUUCUCUGAGAUGGAAGACCCAUCUCAUGCCUAAUAAAGACUCUUGAAUACUGAACAACA